rnacentral:rRNA from 1 species
GAUGAACGCUGACAGCAUGCUUAACACAUCAGCAACUGAGUGGUGGCGGACGGGAGAGUAACGCGUAAAGAUCUUACCUCACAGUUAGGGACAACAGUUGGAAACGAAUGCUAAUACUAAUUCCUGUGAGAGAGCUUUGCGUCCCAUUAGCUAGUUGGUGAGGUAACGGCUCACCAAGGCGAUGAUGAGUAGCCGGCCUGAGAGGGUGUUCGGCCACAAGGGGACUGAGACACGGCCCUUAGUCAUACGGGAGGAAGCAGUGGGGAAUAUUGGACAAUGGCCCAAAGUCUGAUACAGCCAUUCUGUUUGCACGAUGAAGUUUUCGGAAUGUAAAGUGCUUUCAGUUGGGAAGCGGUACCAACAGAAGAAGUGACGGCUAAAUACGUGCCAGCAGCCGCGGUAAUAC